CUAAAUCCCUGGCCCUACCAGACUAUUUCUAAGUAUGAAUCAUCACUCUUUGCUUGGCAUUCAGAUAGCAUUUUCAGGCAUACUUUUACAUUUGAAGUAUUGUUUUAUGGAAGAAAUGAUUAAUAUAAACUGAAAGAGACAUUCCAGAGAACAUCAUUGUUUCCACAAUAAGUCAAUAUGAUUGUUGUGGAAAAACAGACAUCUCCAUCCAUUUAUAGCAAAACGAAUGUCCCCCCAAAGCCUCAUAUUCUCAGAGGAAGCACUUCUGGAAGCCACACUACAGAUCUGCUACUGGCUUCUGACUUCACUGCCUGCCUUAGAAGUGGCAAGCCAAGCAAUCACUUGCUCAACCUUCCUGAGAGCCAGUGAUGGAAAAGAGAAGCAACUCUGGAGCAUGGAACACAAAAGUUUUGGGAGGGACUUCCCAUUGAGGUUCUUUCUUUCCCUGGAGACUCAAUGAUUUUAUGUCUAGUGGUUCAUAAGUUACAAGAUAUCUGGAAUUAGGUGAUCUGACACCCUGUGACUUCUGGCUUUCCCCAAAGACAAAAUGACCAUGGAAGGGAGACCAUGAUGGUGACAUUUGGAAGACCCUGUGUAAGGCAGGGUGAUGUUCCAUUAUUUUUUGUACUUGCUAAAACUCAGAGUUCUGAAAAGUCUGGAUGACACAAUGAAAAGUUUGUGUGCUGAGCAAAAUGUUGUCCAAUUGGCCAAUCCUCUACGUCUUGGGAAAUGUCUAGAAGCUUGGCAAGAAGUUGCUCUCAAGAGAGCACGAAUGCUGCCAAUUUCCAAUUGGCCAAGACACAUUACAAGGACAACCUUCUCUCUGAGCAACCUGGCAUUUCCAUUCCAAUUGGAAUCUGCAAUGUGAAGAUGCACAAGGGAGGGAGAUUAAACAAACGUUUUCAGAUUUCUGUUCCAGGUGAAUCUCUCAUCUUAUCUGGUCUGUUCUGAUCUGCUUUUGUUCACUGACCAUUUCAAACAUUAAGGGACAUGUUACAGGUGAGUUUUCAGAACUGAUAAAUGGCCAGGGCAGAUGCAAGAUGAGAAAACUGAUCUAUUUUUAUACAUACAUAUGAAGCGCUGAACCUGCCUG
ensembl:lncRNA